rnacentral:rRNA from 1 species
AUGUCCGCCGCGCCCACCAUGUCCCCGGUGACCACGGCCGACGACGACGAGAUCCUGUACGAGUCCAUGCCACGCCUCCGCGUCUACAAGAGCCGCGUGGAGCGCUACCUGGUGGGCUCCGAGUUCGUCGCCGCCUCCACCGACGCCGCCACCGGGGUCGCCUCCCGCGACACCGCCAUCUCCCCCAACGUCUCCGCGCGCCUCUACCUCCCCCGCCUGGACGCCGACGCCGUGGACGGCACGCUCCCUGUCCUCGUCUACUACCACGGCGGCGGGUUCUGCCUCUUCUCCGCCUUCGACUCCACCUACCACGCCUACCUCAACGCCUUCGCCGCGCGCGCCAACGCCCUCGUCGUCUCCGUCGAGUACCGCCUCGCGCCCGAGCACCCCGUACCCGCCGCGUACGCGGACUCAUGGGAGGCGCUCGCGUGGGUUUUCUCCCACAGCGCCGGCGCCGGUGACGAGCCGUGGCUCGCCCGCCACGCCGACCUCUCCCGCCUCUACCUUAGCGGCGACAGCGCCGGCGCCAACAUCGCGCACCACAUGGCCAUGCGGGCGGGCGCCAGCGUCCGGGGCCUCGUCCUGGUGCACCCCUACUUCCUGGGGAGCGACGAGGUGGGCUCAGACGGCCUGGACCCGGCGGCGCGGGAGCGGCUCGGGAGGCUGUGGCGCGUCGCGUGCCCGGCCGCCGCGGGGGAGGACGACCCGCUCAUCAACCCGCUCGCGGACGGCGCGCCGGGGCUCGAGGCCCUGGCGUGCGGGCGCGUCCUCGUGUGCGUCGCCGGGGUGGACGUGCUCCGCGACCGCGGCCGCGCCUACUACGACCGGCUCGGGGCCAGCGGGUGGCCUGGCGAGGUGGAGAUGUGGCAGGCGCCGGGCAAGGGGCACAGGUUCCACCUGCUGGAGCCGGGCUGUGACGAGGCCGCCGAGCAGGACAAGGUCAUCAGCGGCUUCCUCAACCGCUGA